AUGGGAAUGAGCCCUCCCUGCAGAACAGGCCCACGCGAUGGGGCGGGAUGGGCUUUCGCACAUCCGAGCCCCCCCCCGCACCAGGGUGCCCGGGGCACGCUCCGGCCGGGCGCACGGGGAUGCGGCUUUGGGGUCACCGGGCGGGAGGCACUGCUGGAGCGCACCCACCGGCCGCAGCUCCCAGGCUCCGUGGACGGGGGAUGCCGAGGGGUGGGAAAAGGCUUCUGCUGCCUAAACAGAUCCCGUUCAGCCCACGCCGCUGCGCUAGCAAUACGGGCAGAGCAAAGCCCAGGGCCGGCACCGAGCUCUCCAUCCCCAGCGCGUCGGGUGGGUGCCAGCUCCGUCCUCCCCUCCGCGGGGCAGCCGGGAGCAUUUUGGAGCAGCACCAAAGCCCGGCUGGGGGGCGGUGAGAAGCAGAGCCCCCCAGACGCUGCCUCACCCGCAGAGCACGGGCUGUGCGCUCGCACGGAGACCCCGAGGACCUGCCCCAGAAGCGCCCUGGCAUCGCUGCCGCGUGCGCCCUCGGAAACCAGCGCCCGGAGAUGUCAGACGGACAUUUCGCGGUGUCCAGGGCCGGUCGGUCGGUUUGUUCGUUCGUUUUCCUUGGAAGCAGCACGUCGGGACAUCCAUCCAGAGCCCGGCCGGGGCUUUUCAGGCGCGGCGCUGCUCGGCGGGCCGGGGGCCGCUGCCCCGGGCGCGGGGAGCGCAAGGCCCCGCUUCGCCCUCCCCGCUGCCGGCGCCGGGCACGCGAUGCGGCUUCCAUCGCCCCUGGGCGCCGCGCCACGCUCGGGCACCGGGUCCCGGAGGAGAAAGCGGUUUGGGAAGGGCUUGGAAAACGAAGCCAACAAAGCCGCCCUCCGGCGCCCAGGGGGCUGCUGUGCCCUUGCUGCCGGCACCGCCCGCUGCCCGCGCACCCCCCAGCAGCGGCGGGGGCUUCCUGCACCGCACCCCCCCCACACACACACCNNNNNNNNNNNNNNNNNNNNNNNNNNNNNNNNNNNNNNNNNNNNNNNNNNNNNNNNNNNNNNNNNNNNNNNNNNNNNNNNNNNNNNNNNNNNNNNNNNNNNCCCCUCCCCUCAGCCCCCCCCAGCCCCAGCGCGUGCCCCCCCCGACCCCAACGCCCCCCGCCGCAGACUCACCAUGGGGCGGCCGGGGGGUGCCGGGCUCCGCAGCGGGCAGGGCGGGGGGGGAGCGGAGUUAAGCCGGGGCCGGGCUGCGGGGGGGGCCCCGGGCACGCUUGCGCACAGAGCCGGGCUGGGCUGCGGGGCGGAGGGAGGGAAGGGGCGGGGGGAAGGCGGGGGGGCCGCCGGCAGAGGCGGGGGGUGCGGGGCCGCUGCCCGCGGGGCCCUCCCGGUGCGCGCCUGGAGGCGCCGGGCGGCUCCCCGAGAGCUCUGGGGGUGGCCUGAGGAAGGGGAGGGUGCGCUCAUCCCCCCCCACACACACACACACACCCCGUUAGCAGCCCGAAAAUUAAGCAGGCGGGGCCGCCCGCCCUCGGGGUCUGCGGCGGUGCCCAAACCCGCUGGGCGCCGGGAGCGGGGGGGGCUCCGCGGGGCUCGAAACCGGCCGCCGCCCGCUGCCUUUGCCGGCGGCCCGGCCUGGCUCGCCCGCCACACGCACACCGUCGGGUGCGGGGGGCCCCGGGGCGGCCCCGCCGAGCACCGGGCGCCCGCUGGCUCCGUCCCGGCCGCCCGCGCCUCGCCUCGUCCCCGCGGCACGCCGCGCUCGCCGGCCGGCCCCCCGGGGCUCGUCCCCCCGAGGCUCCGAGGCCAUCCUCCUGCGCCGGUCGGUUUUGCCGGGCCUCUAGUCCCCGAGACGAGCAGCGAUGUUAAUGCUGAUCUCCAGCCGGGCAAUAACCCGAGCCGUCGGCUGCGGAGCGCGGGCUGGCAGCAGGCAGCUCCCGCUGCAGGCAGGGCGCAGCCCCGCCAGGUUUCUUCCUCUUUAUCGCAAGGGCCAGAAAGAGGCCACAGCUUGGAGGGCAACGUCUCCAUCCGAAGACCCGUGUGUCCGGGGCCAACCGCGCCCCCCGGUAAAACACCCGCUGAGCUGACGGCGCUGAUGUUGCCGGGGCUCCCUGAGCAACGGCAUCGAUAUUUGAAGAGCAGCCUUGCCUCGUUCUCUGCUGCCUCAGAAAACAGCCGACACCAACGGCAAAGCUCUAAAGAAAAAAAAAAAAACACAAUUUUUUUGAAAGCGGAACAGCAGGGGAAUGAAUUAAGAGACCACAAAGAUGUGGCCGCCAAAUGCUGCAGCCACCACGGCUGCCUUGGUUCCCUGCUGAUGAUCAGCAGCAGUGCUUGCUUCCACGGAGCCCAGCAGCACCCACGUAACUUCUGGCAGGACGUGUGCAUUAUCCCCUGA
ensembl:lncRNA